GCCGUUAUACUCCAAAACGCAGUAUUUUACGGCGUUUAUAUGUCAGUUGAAACGCAGCGAAAAGCACCGCUUUAAGUACUCCAAAACGCCGUUUUGGCAUGCUUACAACAGCGUUUAAAACGCCGUUUUAUAGUAUGAUAAUGAGCUCCACCUAAUAGGUUUGACAGCCAAGACUUGAACUUUCUUCACCCACUCACUCACGAACAAGGUCAGACCAGAACAAUUCACUACAGAUCUUAAUCGGCUGAAGAACCAUUGCUCAGCUGGAAGAUGGCGAGGAGGAACUUCAUUUUACUUGGUCGACGGACACUUAAUGACUGCACUCGACUACUAUUAACAGACAAUCCUGGACCUGAUGUACUUAAUUCCACAUUAAGGAGGAAAGUCAGGAAGACAGUAAUUUCGAUGGAACUUUCUGCAUGUAAAGUGAUCACUUCCUUAUGCCAUUGACUCCCCUCCUUCACUGUACUCCAGUCUCUGUGCAGGUCCAUGUACACCUUACUACUGUGCAAACUAGGAAACUUGGUCAGUGCAACCACUGUAUACUAUGCUUGUGUCCUCACAUACAGGUGUAGGUCAUGCAUACACAUGCAUACAGAAAAUCAAACAAUUUUCAGGUUGAUUAGUUAUAAAUAAAAAUACACACUCCAACAUACAUAGAAAACAUUAUACUCCAUCUAAACCCCAGCCCACAGGCACCCACAUACUUUCGUUGUCUGCUUGGUGAUAUUUUAUUAAAUGUUUUUUUUUUUUACAUUAAUUUUUCUCCACUCAACCUUUCACACAGGAAUUUUUGUGGCAAUGAUAAUCCAUAGGUACUAACAUUUUCUUUUUUUUUUUAAAUUUUACUUAAAUAGCCAAGGCAUUUUUGCACCAAUAAGUAAACAAACAAUUCUAUGAAUAACUAACAGUAUGAAUUGUUGUAGAGGUAGAGUCCCGACAGUAUUUCCUCAGUACUUCAGGCAAGACAGACAGGAACACAGAACAACGGUCAGGCAGACACAUGCCACCUAGUUGCCUGAAAAGGUGUUUUAAUAAUUUUUUUUUAAAAGCAGCAAAAUAACAGGAAAAGCAGUAAUAAAUGAUCAAAAACAAUCUGUGCAAUUGUGAGAGCUCACAGAUCU